UCUAUUAUGGCAGAUAAGUGUAAUGGAUUUAAGCUCCAUAUAUAAAGUUAAAUAACUUUUUUUAGAA
rnacentral:tRNA from 1 species